rnacentral:rRNA from 1 species
AUUGAACGCUGGCGGCAUGCCUUACACAUGCAAGUCGAACGGCAGCGCGGGAGCAAUCCUGGCGGCGAGUGGCGCACGGGGGAGUAAUACAUCGGAACAUGCCCAAUCGUGGGGGAUAACGCAGCGAAAGCUGUGCUAAUACCGCAUACGAUCUACGGAUGAAAGCAGGGGAUCGCAAGACCUUUCGCGAAUGGAGCGGCCGACGGCAGAUUAGGUAGUUGGUGAGGUAAAGGCUCACCAAGCCUUCGAUCGGUAGCUGGUCUGAGAGGACGACCAGCCACACGGGGACUGAGACACGGCCCAGACUCCUACGGGAGGCAGCAGUGGGGAAUGUUGGACAAUGGGCGAAAGCCUGAUACAGCCAUGCCGCGUGCAGGAUGAAGGCCUUCGGGUUGUAAUCUGCUUUUGUACGGAACGAAACGGUCUUGUCUAAUAAAGAAGGCUAAUGACGGUACCGGAAGAAUAAGCACCGGCUAACUACGUG